AUUGAACGCUGGCGGCAUGCCUAACACAUGCAAGUCGAACGAGUGGCGGACGGGUGAGUAAUGUAUGGGAACCUGCCCAGUAGCGGGGGAUAACUACUGGAAAGGGUGGCUAAUACCGCAUACCAUCGGAUGUGCCCAUAUGGGAUUAGCUAGUAGGUGGGGUAACGGCUCACCUAGGCAACGAUCCCUAGCUGGUCUGAGAGGAUGACCAGCCACACUGGGACUGAGACACGGCCCAGACUCCUACGGGAGGCAGCAGUGGGGAAUUUUGGACAAUGGGCGAAAGCCUGAUGCAGCCAUGCCGCGUGUAUGAAGAAGGCCUUCGGGUUGUAAAGUACUUUUAGCGGGGAAGCGGUAUCUGCAGAAUAAGCACCGGCUAACUCCGUGCCAGCAGCCGCGGUAAUUC
rnacentral:rRNA from 1 species